CUCCAUUUAGAGGUUGCCAAGUCAACUGUUUUCAGGGGCAAAUAACUAAUGCAUGCUCAAGUCGCUAAGUCACCAGAUGACGUCAUAGAUUGAUUUCCAUUUUAAUGAAUUCAAUGAUUAUUUGCAUAUGCAAAUGAAGAAAGGUUUUCAGAAGACACUUAGAAUAGAAUUGAAUUGAAUAGAGCAUAGAAAGAGCUCUUUGGACACAGCAUUGUAAACUAACUCUAUUUACAAUUUAUUUUAUUUCAACAGAUAAAAUUAAGCAGUGGAAACAGUUCUGGCUGUAAUAACUCACUUUUAUUACUGUACAUAGUGCCAAGAAGAGAGUUUAAAACAAAUAGCAAUGAAGUGAGGGGUGAACAAUGGUGGUGAUCAGUGGUUGGAUAUUGGGAGCGAUGGUGGUCAGUGAUUGGUUCUUUGGAACAACAGUGAUUAAUGAUUGGACAUUGGGUGCAAUGGUUUUUAGUGAUUGGUUCUUGAGAACAAUGGUGAUUAAUGAUUGGAUAUUGGGAGCGAUGGUAGUCAGUAAUUGGUUCUUUGGAACAAUGUUGAUUAAUGAUUAGACAUUGGGAGCGAUGGUGGUCAGUAAUUGUGAAUUUAUCCCUAUUGAGCGAGCCUGUGGCGACGGUGGCAAGGAAAAACUCCCUAAGAAGAUAUGAGGAAGAAACCUUGAAAGGAUCCAGACUCAAAAGGGAACCCAUCCUCAUCUGGGCAAUAACGGAUAGUGUGAAAGUAAAGGGAAGUUCAUUCAUUCAUAUUCUAUGAAGUCUGUUUUGUUGUACUGAUCCACUGGUCACUAAAGCAUUAAGCAAACCCUGUCUCGUUGUAUUAAAACACACUUCAAUUAUAGGUGCACUAUAAUAUAUAAUUAUAGGGCUGUCUAGGGUUCAGAUGUAAUAAAAUUACAUUUUUAGUAGGUGAAAAUGAGACCCUUUGAGAAUAGAUUUGCUCAGUGUACAGAAUUUUGUUGAAUGCUCAUCUGGCCAAGAGGGGUCGCUGUGGAGCAAAAUCUCCAAGGUGUCCAAAUCCCUUGCCUUCAUCCUUUGAAUUCCCGUUAGGCCAUCAUUAGAAAGAAACCACAACAGAGUGACAUGCACCUACCAUAUAGGUGCACUUUAUGUGGUACAUUUGCUGACUGUAACCGUCUGUUGCUAUGCACAACUGUCCACUCUGUACAAUUUUCAAAAUCUCCAAAAUAUUUCAAUGUUCAGCUGGGGUUUUACCUCAUUUUCAUCCUUAUCAAAGCAUUAUUCCCAGCAGGAGAGACAUGUUUCUUUGAACAAAGAACCUUGUAUUGGUUUGCAGGGAUGCCAAGUGUUGCAGACUUUUUAGACAGCUUUAUCAACUUUAUUUAUGAGUUAUUUAUUUAUAUCUCUUGAUGACGGAUUUGCACUUGUUUGACCCUAUGUUCUCAACGGCCAAUCAUUGACCACCAUCGCUCCAAAUGUCCAAUCAUUAAUCACCACUGUUCCCAAGAACAAUCACUGACCAUCAUCGCUCCCAAUGUCCAAUCAUUAAUCAACAUUGUUCCAAAGAACAAUCACUGACCAUCACUCCCUAAGAUGUUUUAAGAGGAAGAAACCUUGAGAGGAACCAGACUCAGAAGGGAACCCAUCCUCAUCUGGGUAACAACAGAUAUUGUGAAAAAGUUCAUUAUUGACUUAUAUGAAGUCUGUUUGGCCUUAGAAGCAGCAGUCUGGAAUUGGAGUAGAUUAGAGCUCCAUCCAGAGGCAGGACAUAGGAAAACGGAUCAGGCAGGUCCGGAGAUCAGAAAGGAUCAGGAUCUCUAAUAUCUCCAUAAAAUCGUGUGUGGCUUGGCAGAAGGAGAGAGGGAGAGAAAAGAUUAUUAGGACUGGGAAUUAGCAUAAUAAAAAGUCUAGUCAGGGUAGGCUUGAGUAAACAAACACGUUUUAAGCCUAGACUUAAACACUGAGACUGUGUCUGAGUCCUGAACACUAAUUGGAAGACUGUUCCAUAACAGUGGGGCUCUAUAAGUGAAAGCUCUCCUACCUGCUGUAGCCUUCACUAUUCGAGGUACCAUCAAAUCGCCCGCAUCUUUUGAUCUAAGUAGGCGUGGCAGAUCAUAGAAAACCAAAAGGUCGCUUAGAUACUGUGGUGCGAGACCGUUUAGUGCUUUAUAGAUUAAUAAAGGUAUUUUAUAAUUAACCACUGAUCACCACCAUUGUUUGUUCACCACUCACUUCAUUGUUCUAAUAAUUAAUCACCAUUGUUCCAAAGAACAAUCACUGACCAUCAUCGCUCCCAAUGUCCAAUCAUUAAUCAACAUUGUUCCAAAGAACAAUCACUGACCAUCAUCGCUCCCAAUGUCCAAUCAUUAAUCAACAUUGUUCCAAAGAACCAAUUACUGACCACCAUCGCUCCCAAUGUCUAAUCAUUAAUCAACAUUGUUCCAAAGAACAAUGGUUAAUUAAUUAAUGGUUAAUUAACGCUUAUGAGCUACUGAUCAGAAGGUUGUGAGUUCAAAUCCUACAACAGCCACUGUUGGGUGCUUGGAGGAAGACCAUUAACCUUCAAAUGUUCAAAUGUAAAUCAAUUUGAAUGAAAGCAUUAGCCAAAUAAAUAAAUGUGAAUUUAAUAAAUAAAUAAAGGUAAAUAAAUGCAGUAAACCGGUGUCACCUCCAGGGUGUAUCCCUGCAUUGUACAGAGCGUUUCUGCGGUAGACUCUGGGUCCAUCACAGGCAAGGCCAGGAUAAAACCCUUACUAAAGAUUAACGAAUGAAUAAAUGAAGUGUCCCAACCCGAAAUGAUCAUUUCAGUCGCUUUUGCGCUAAAACCAGAGGUCAAAUCGAGACCGAGCAGAGUGGGGGGAGGUCUACUUUUUUUUUUUUAUGAAUGUCAUAAAAAAGUACAGCACCAAUAAAUAUGUUAUAUUGAGUUUGAGAUUUAAUAUGCCUUUAUUGUCCUUUACAGCACAGGUGCACUGGAAUUCUUAAACGGUUCUUAGUCGAAUACAGAUUUAUAGACAGAAGAUCAAAGAAAAAGCUUUAAUAGUGCACAAGAAGGCACUGCAUAUGAGAAACGCGAUAAAUAUCACACAGUUUAGUGGAGAAAUAGAGAGUUGAUAUUGCGGCACCGGCCGUUUUAUUAGAAACAGUUCAUUAGUGCAAUUAUGCAAUCAGCCUAUCAUGUGGCAGCAGCGCAAUGCAUAGAAUCAUACGGAUACAGGUUAACAGCUUCAUUUAAUCUUCACAUCAAACAUCAGAAUGUCGGGAAAUUCGCAGUGAUCGCCGUGACUUUGACCAUGGCGUGUUUGUUGGUGUCAGAUGGGCUGGUUUGAGUAUUUCAGAGACUGCUGAUCUUCCGGGAUUUUCACAAACAACAGUUUCUAGAGUUUACACAGAAUGCAGCGAAAAACCAAAAAGCAUCCAGUGAGCAGGAGUUCUGUGAGUGGAAAUGUCUUGUUGAUGAGAGAGAGAGGGCAGACUUAAUCAAGUUGACAAGGAAGGCUGCAGUAACACAGAUAACCACAUUUUUCAGUCAUGAUGAGCAGAAAGGCAUCUCAGGACACACAACACAUCAAGGUGAGCGGGAUACAACAGAAGAAGACUACAUGAGGUGAAGAAGAACAGGAAUCGGAGGCUACAAUGGGCACAGUCUCACUGAAACUGGACAGCUGAAAAUUGGAAAAAAUGUUGCCUGGUCUGAUGAAUCUUGAUUUCUGCUGCAACAUGCAGAUGGCAUAGUCAGAAUGUAGCAUCAAUAGCAUGAACCCAUGGACCCAUAGUGGUGGUGUAAUGGUGUGGGGAAUGUUCUCUUAUUACAAAUCAAGCAAUGUUUGAAUGCCACAGCACAUCAGAGCUGUCUGAGUAUUGUUGCCGACCAUGUGCAUCCUAUUAUGGUCACGAUUUACCCAUCUUCUAAUGGGUACUUCCAAUUGGUACCGCUUCACGCUACAUAUCACAAGUCAUCGCAAACUGGUUCCAUGAACAUGACAGUGAGAUCUGAACUAUACAGCACAUUUGGGAUACGAUAGUACAGGAGAUUUGCAACAUAAAUGUGGAGCUGACAAAUUUGCAGCAAUUAUGUGAUGUCAACAUGGACCAGAAUCUCAGAGAAAUGUUUCCAAUACCUUGUGGAGUCCAUGCCAUGAAGAAUUAAGGCUGUUCUGGUAACAAAGGGGCUUCCUACCCAGUAGUAAUUGGUGUUCUUAGUGCAACUGCGAAUCACAGUUUUAUAUUAAUGUGCUCCUUCUAGUAUGAAAUUGUUUCUGUAGUAACAGCUCAUUCACUGGGUUUCGUAUGAUGGAAGUUUUUAAAAAAAAAAUUAUAAUCAUUGAUAUGCUAUAGAGUUCUCUGAAGAGGCGUUUAUUUAUUCAUGGGAGCAAUCUCCAGUGUCAGUGCUUCGUAACAGUCAGCAGUCAAGCUGUAACUUUACAUUAUCUGACACAGAAUAAAGACGUGGCAUGAGAAGCUGUUUUUUUUUUUUCUUUUUUUUUUCGUCUUAUUAAAUUCAAGACAAAGACUGGUGUGGGAACAACUAUUUUUGUAGCUGCUGUAGCAAAAGUGAUGACAGGAAGUAAUUCACAGACAUGCCACAACAUUAAAUACUGAGUCUUUAUUGGUCAGAUAUACAUAUGCAUGGUGAAAUUCUUUUCUUUGCAUACCCCAGCAUGUCAGGAAGCUGGGGUCAGAGCACAGGGUCAGCCAUGAUACAGCGCCCCUGAUGUAACUAUGGACUGAUGAAAAAAUACACGUUUAAUAAAAAUAAAAAUUUAAAAAAGUGGUAGCAUUGGCAAAUUGCUACAGUAUAUGAAGGGAAAAAAACACUUUGGGAUGUGGUGUAAUAGGAAAAUAAUAACCUCAUAUAACACUGCAUUUCUAUGGGGGGCCCCCUGGUGGCUCGGGGUCCUAGAUGACUGCUUACAUCACAUGCAGCUAAAAAUGGUCUUGGCUACAUUGUCCUGAAGUAGAAAAUAUUUGUGAGUCAUGAUGCACUCUGGGUCUAAAAACAUCCGAGAUUGUAUUCGGUGUCAUGCAGUUUAUGUGUCAGAUAGAAGGGGUCGCAAAGGAAAGCACAGGGUCCUACAGCCCUCCUCUUCUGGUUGAUCUCCCAUUGUGAAUUCUACUCUGAGGAUCCUUUUGUGUUCUAAAAAGGGUUCCAUUUUAAUAAGCAUUUCCCAUAUUUCUCUUUAUGUCAUAAUAUACCUUACUACAGCCAAGUUUUGUCAGUUUUGUAUGUUGGUAUGAGCGUAGAAGUGUCUUAAAGGAGAAAUGAAUGUGGAAAACAAAACUUGGAGAGUGAUCUGGUCUUUUAGAUUUAUAUAUACCGAUCUCAACAGGUUCCUCUGUAACUGCAAUGAUUACCAUAUACAAGCAAUAUCAUUUGCUAUACUGCAACAAAAAAAUGGAAAAUGGUCUCUCAAACAGUACCCUUCUGUACUACUCUAGGCUGUCUAGUGUGUUCACAUUGAGUACACAAAUAGAAUUCAAUACAAAACAAAACCCCAACGGUGUACUAUAUUAGCCGAGGAAAUGAAGUGUGCUGAACAUGUUUGGCAGUACCCUGUCCCAUCAUCAUGAGAAAACAAAACAAAACAAACAAACAAACGAAAAGGCAGGGCAACUUGUCGUAUUUGGAUUGAACCAACCUGUCAUGAGCAAUCUUAUCAGAAAGCUGCUCUUUCACUCAUUAGUAAAUAUCAUAUCAUAUUUACAGUUUGUAAUUACAGUCACCUCAGUAUACUUUUGUCUUAUGGUAAUUUUGUAGUAAUCUUAUAUGUAGCUAUGGAACUUGAACUAAAACCCACACUACGUUUCUUUACUCUUUAAUCAAGCGUUGUUUUCUUGCAAACAGUCACCCCAGUUGAUUAGCUAAGCAUGUUUUGGAAGACCUUUGCCACAAAGGCUUUCUAUUAUUAGGAGCACAUGCAGAGGCAUGGUUCAAAGUCUUUGGUUGUUUCUGGCUAGCAGCUAUUUGUAAAACAACAUUACUUGUGUCCUUGAACUUCAUUAAGCAAACUAUCCAUCCCUGACCAAAUACUGACCAGUGCAGCAAGGCAGCAGUGUGCUCCGAUAGAUGAUGAAAUAUGCAGUAAUAUCCAGACCUGUUGGCUAAAAAAAUGCUUUGCUAAAUGUUUGCCCUCCUGCUCGGAUGUGAGCCAGAGUGAAUGGUUAUCCUAAUUCGUCUGCUUGAUUACACUCCAAAUGUGACCACAUCAUUACAUAACAGCUGUAUCGACAUGACAUUUAUAGUUGCAAUCAAAAUUAUUCAACCCCCAUUGGAAAUCAGGUUGAUUGUCAAAAUUUCCAGACUUUCAUCUGUUUGCAGUGAACAAAUCACCCUAAAGCAGCUGAAAUAGUCCAACACAACGAAUGUUUCAAGUAGUUUCUCCAAAUUCAACUGAAAAUGCAACUUAUAAUGAUUUCUCCAGUCUUAAAAUUAUUCAACCCCUUCAUGGCAAGCAUCUUUAGUACUUUAGUAGAGCGCCCUUUUGCUGUUAUGACCUGCUGCAAACGAGAUGGAUAGCCAGACACCAGCUUCUGGUAGCGUUCCUGAGGAAUCUUAGCCCAUUACUCAUGAUCAAUGGCCUCCAGUGGAGUAAUAUUCUUGUGUUUGCGUGCUGCAACCGCUGUCUUCUAAAUCCCACCAGAGAUUUGGUUGGUUGUUGGUUACUGAAUACACACUCCAUGCAAACAUCAGCCUGAAAGGAUUUGCCAAUUUCAGAUUCAAUUCAGUUUCACUUGAAUUAUUUAUUUUAAGUGAGAUUUUUAUGAGGAACUUGACUUGUGUAAAUCAAUCAAAUUCAAUGAUGUUUAAAAGAAAGAAACAUCGUUUUUUUUCUUCUUGCACUAGAGCUACAAGGCGAAUGUAGGUCGCAAGUAAUGGAAUGUGUCACUGGAAAUCAAUCUGUAAACCUCCGCCUCAAACCACAUCUAGCUCUUCAGCGAUGUCACACAGACGUACUGAUGUGAUUUAGGACACAGUGGUACUACCUGUUAUAUACCGUCUAUAAAUAUGAACACAACUUCACUGAAUACUGGAGCAUUAUGGGAUGGCCAUGUUGGACAGACUGAAUGCUUAUAGCUUUAACAGAAAGCUGGUAGCGUUAUGUGGAACGGUAACAUUCAAAUAAUUGUGACUUCUGAAGGCAACUGGUUGCACCAUAACUAAUUGAGGGGGUUCACAGCAGCAGGACUGCUAUAACAUUUAAGCUGUCCAGUUUCGGUGAGUCUGUACCCAUGACAGCCUCAGAUUCCUGUUCUUAGCUGACAGGAGUGGAACCGGAUGUUGUCUUCUACUGCUGUAGCUCAUCCACCUCAAGGUUUGAUGUUUUGUGCAUGCUAAGAUGCUUUUCUGCUCAACACAGUUGUAAAGAGUGAUUAUUUGAGUUACUAUAGACUUCCUGCCAGCUUGAACCAGUCUGGUCAUUCUUCUCUGGUCUGAUCUCUCUCAUCGACAGGGUGUUUCAGCCUGCAGACCUUCUACUCACAGGAUGGUUUUUUUUUUGUUGUUUUUUUUUUUUUGCACCCUUCUGUGUAAACUCUACAAACUGUUGUGUGUGAAAAUCCCAGGAGAUCAGCAGUUUCUGAAAUACUCAAACCAGCCCAUCUGGCACCAACAAUGGUUAUAGUCACAAAGAUCACCCCCCCCCCCCCCCCCAUUUUGAUGUUUGAUGUGAACAUUAACUGAAACUCUUGACCUGUAUCUGCAUGAUUUUCUGUGCUGCCGCCACAUGAUUGAAUGAUUAGAUGAAUGAAUUAUUAUGAAUGAUUAGAUGUAUCUGUUUUUUCAUAUUUAUCUCGUAUCUGUUAUUUGGUAUGUAACAUGUGGAAGGCAUGUUGAGAGACAGAAACCUGACCUUUAUCCAAAUCCUGCAUGGAUGCAUGACUCUCUGAUAACUUUCCACUAAUUUGUUGAAUUACGGUUGUGCCCAAGUCACAAAACCUACAAAACCAGGACAUUGCUAUGAGUUUUUCUCCACUCAUUUAUCACACAGAGUAGAAUUUCCAGCUCUCGGUGUAUGUAUAUAAACCUAUACAGGCCUAUAGGGAAGUCCUAUUUUUAGCAAUGGUAAUAUAUAAAGUUCUGACAGGUGACA